UGGGGAAUAUUGGGCAAUGGGCGAAAGCCUGACCCAGCAACGCCGCGUGAAGGAAGAAGGCCUUCGGGUUGUAAACUUCUUUGAACAGGGACGAAAAAAAUGACGGUACCUGAAAAACAAGCCCCGGCUAACUACGUGCCAGCAGCCGCGGUAAUACGUAGGUGGCGAGCGUUAUCCGGAUUUACUGGGUGUAAAGGGCGUGUAGGCGGUUUUGUAAGUCGGAUGUGAAAUUCCCAGGCUUAACUUGGGAGCUGCAGCCGAAACUA
rnacentral:rRNA from 1 species